UACAAAGUGGAUAUGAUUCUUUGGAGAAUUUUUGUCAAAUGUAAAUAUUUAAUAUGUUAUCACAAGUUGGGGAGGAGCUAACACCUAAUGAGUCCCUGCAACCACUCAUGCUGGCUUCAUCGAAUAAUAUAUUUUUUUCCUCAUAUUGGGAAAUUGCCCGUGCUCAUUUGGAUUCUUGAAUUCACCGCUGACCACAAUACAUUUCAAUGGUCUUCUAACCAAUUCAAUCAAGACCAAAAUUUGAAGCCAUGUAUGUGAAACGAUAUGUAUAGAUGAUGUUACGAAUUUGUCCGUGAGAACAAUAAUUUGUGCCAUUUCCUCCUCGGAGAUGGAAUUAUAAAGUAAAAUCGAGUAUUUAUGGUUCUCGAUCUUCCAAAAAUGCUACAACAUAAGCAAUGCAGUAUAGGAUUUCUCAAAUCCUUCAAAUGCGAUGGUGUCAAAAACACUGUUUUCACCACCUUCUUCGCCUCCUACCGUACCAAUAAGC
rnacentral:lncRNA from 1 species